rnacentral:rRNA from 1 species
GACGGGGGGGGCAAGUGUUCUUCGGAAUGACUGGGCGUAAAGGGCACGUAGGCGGUGAACCGGGUUGAAAGUGAAAGUCGCCAAAAAGUGGCGGAAUGCUCUCGAAACCAAUUCACUUGAGUGAGACAGAGGAGAGUGGAAUUUCGUGUGUAGGGGUGAAAUCCGUAAAUAUACGAAGGAACGCCAAAAGCGAAGGCAGCUCUCUGGGUCCCUACCGACGCUGGGGUGCGAAAGCAUGGGGAGCGAACAGG